rnacentral:rRNA from 1 species
AUGAACGCUAGCUACAGGCUUAACACAUGCAAGUCGAGGGGCAUCAGGAAGAAAGCUUGCUUUCUUUGCUGGCGACCGGCGCACGGGUGAGUAACACGUAUCCAACCUGCCCUUUACUCGGGGAUAGCCUUUCGAAAGAAAGAUUAAUACCCGAUGGUAUAAUUAUUCCGCAUGGUUUGAUUAUUAAAGGAUUCCGGUAAAGGAUGGGGAUGCGUUCCAUUAGGUUGUUGGUGAGGUAACGGCUCGCCAAGCCUUCGAUGGAUAGGGGUUCUGAGAGGAAGGUCCCCCACAUUGGAACUGAGACACGGUCCAAACUCCUACGGGAGGCAGCAGUGAGGAAUAUUGGUCAAUGGGCGAUGGCCUGAACCAGCCAAGUAGCGUGAAGGAUGACUGCCCUAUGGGUUGUAAACUUCUUUUAUAUUAGAAUAAAGUGCAGUAUGUAUACUGUUUUGUAUGUAUAAUAUGAAUAAGGAUCGGCUAACUCCGUGCCAGCAGCCGCGGUAAUACGGAGGAUCCGAGCGUUAUCCGGAUUUAUUGGGUUUAAAGGGAGCGUAGGUGGACUGGUAAGUCAGUUGUGAAAGUUUGCGGCUCAACCGUAAAAUUGCAGUUGAUACUGUCAGUCUUGAGUACAGUAGAGGUGGGCGGAAUUCGUGGUGUAGCGGUGAAAUGCUUAGAUAUCACGAAGAACUCCGAUUGCGAAGGCAGCUCACUGGACUGCAACUGACACUGAUGCUCGAAAGUGUGGGUAUCAAACAGGAUUAGAUACCCUGGUAGUCCACACAGUAAACGAUGAAUACUCGCUGUUUGCGAUAUACAGUAAGCGGCCAAGCGAAAGCAUUAAGUAUUCCACCUGGGGAGUACGCCGGCAACGGUGAAACUCAAAGGAAUUGACGGGGGCCCGCACAAGCGGAGGAACAUGUGGUUUAAUUCGAUGAUACGCGAGGAACCUUACCCGGGCUUAAAUUGCAGUGGAAUGAUGUGGAAACAUGUCAGUGAGCAAUCACCGCUGUGAAGGUGCUGCAUGGUUGUCGUCAGCUCGUGCCGUGAGGUGUCGGCUUAAGUGCCAUAACGAGCGCAACCCUUAUCUUUAGUUACUAACAGGUCAUGCUGAGGACUCUAGAGAGACUGCCGUCGUAAGAUGUGAGGAAGGUGGGGAUGACGUCAAAUCAGCACGGCCCUUACGUCCGGGGCUACACACGUGUUACAAUGGGGGGUACAGAAGGCAGCUACCUGGUGACAGGAUGCUAAUCCCAAAAGCCUCUCUCAGUUCGGAUCGAAGUCUGCAACCCGACUUCGUGAAGCUGGAUUCGCUAGUAAUCGCGCAUCAGCCACGGCGCGGUGAAUACGUUCCCGGGCCUUGUACACACCGCCCGUCAAGCCAUGGGAGCCGGGGGUACCUGAAGUACGUAACCGCAAGGAGCGUCCUAGGGUAAAACUGGUGACUGGGGCU